AAACACGGUCUGUGGUGAACCAGCGGAGGGAUCAUUAGCGAGUUAAUUACAAACUCCAAACCCAUGUGAACAUACCUACUGUUGCCUCGGCAGGCCGUGCUGCGCGGCUGGAUCGCCUCCCCCGCGUGGGCAGCUACCCUGGAGUAGCUACCCUGUAGCGGGAGCGGCCCGCCCCGCGGCGCGCCAACAGGCCUGCCGAAGGACCCCUAAACUCUGUUUCGCACCUGUAUCUCUGAGUUUAUUAUACAAAUAAGUUAAAACUUUCAACAACGGAUCUCUUGGUUCUGGCAUCGAUGAAGAACGCAGCGAAAUGCGAUAAGUAAUGUGAAUUGCAGAAUUCAGUGAAUCAUCGAAUCUUUGAACGCACAUUGCGCCUAAUAGUAUUCUGUUAGGCAUGCCUGUUCGAGCGUCAUUUCAACCCCCAAGCCCUAUUUGCUUGACGUUGGGAGUUUACGGAGACGUAAUUCCUCAAAUAUAGUGGCGGAGCUGGGUCGUGCUCUAAGCGUAGUAACCAAAUUCUCGCUUCUGAGGCCGGCCCGGGUCCUGCCGUAAAACCCCCUAUAUUUUUUUUCUGGUUGACCUCGGAUCAGGUAGGAAUACCCGCUGAACUUAAGCAUAUCAUAGG
rnacentral:rRNA from 1 species